GACGAACGCUGGCGGCGUGCCUAAUACAUGCAAGUAGGACGCAAAGUUUAUACCGUAGCUUGCUACACCAUAGACUGUGAGUUGCGAACGGGUGAGUAACGCGUAGGUAACCUGCCUAUUAGAGGGGGAUAACUAUUGGAAACGAUCGCUAAUACCGCAUAACACUAUGUAACACAUGUAAUAUGCUUGAAAGAUGCAAUUGCAUCGCUGGUAAAUGGACCUGCGUUGUAUUAGCUAGUAGGUAGGGUAAAGGCCUACCUAAGCAACGAUACAUAGCCGACCUGAGAGGGUGAUCGGCCACACUGGGACUGAGACACGGCCCAAACUCCUACGGGAGGCAGCAGUAGGGAAUCUUCGGCAAUGGGGGGAACCCUGACCGAGCAACGCCGCGUGAGUGAAGAAGGUUUUCGGAUCGUAUAGCUCUGUUGCUAAAGAAGAACGAGUGUGACAAUGGAAAGUUCAUACUGUGACGGUACUUAACCAGAAUGGGACGGCUAACUACCUGCCAGCAGCCGCGGUAAUACGUAGGUCCCGAGCGUUGUCCGGAUUUAUUGGGCGUAAAGCGAGCGCAGGCUGUUAUAAAAGUCUGAAGUGAAACGCAGUGGCUCAACCAUUGUAGGCUUUGGAAACUGUUUAACUUGAGUGCAGAAAGGGAGAGUGGAAUUCCAUGUGUAGCGGUGAAAUGCGUAGAUAUAUGGAGGAACACCGGUGGCGAAAGCGGCUCUCUGGUCUGUAACUGACACUGAGGCUCGAAAGCGUGGGGGAGCGAACACG
rnacentral:rRNA from 1 species